UGGGGAAUAUUGGACAAUGGGGGAAACCCUGAUCCAGCGACGCCGCGUGUGUGAAGAAGGCCUGCGGGUUGUAAAGCACUUUCGGUGGGAACGAAAUAUGCCGGGCUAAUACCCCGGUAGGCUGACGUUACUCAAUGAAGAAGCACCGGCUAACUCUGUGCCAGCAGCCGCGGUAAUACAGAGGGCGCGAGCGUUAAUCGGAAUUACUGGGCGUAAAGCGCACGUAGGUGGCGACGUAAGUCGGGUGUGAAAGCCCCGGGCUCAACCUGGGAACCGCAUUCGAGACUGCGUUGCUGGAGUACGGAAGAGGAGGGCGGAAUUCCCGGUGUAGCGGUGAAAUGCGUAGAUAUCGGGAGGAACAUCAGUGGCGAAGGCGGCCCUCUGGUCCAGUACUGACGCUCAUGCACGAAAGCGUGGGGAGCAAACAGGAUUAGAUACCCGGGUAGUCCCUGAGCGGGCUGGCAAGGCGCAU
rnacentral:rRNA from 1 species